CAUCUGAAAGAAGAAGCCUUAUAUUGGAUCCCCUGGGAAAUUAUUCGAAAAAACUUCAACAGUGUUUGCAGUCCACAAGGGCCUUCAUCAGAAAACAAGGCUGCCAUGUAUCCAGGUGGGCAUCCAGCACAGAUGCACACUGUUGUCAGGAAGAUGCCACCUCAUGUGGGAUAUUUGUCCUGAAAUAUGCAGAGGAACUACUGUCAGAGGAGCCUCUGACAUUCGCUAACAACACUG